AAGUCGUAACAAGGUUUCCGUAGGUGAACCUGCGGAAGGAUCAUUAACACGUAUCCACACGUAACUACUAACGAGGACCGUUUUCCCGUCUCCCUACCGCUUGAAAUGAAUUGACACCAGUCUGAGGGAGUGAUGGGACUGCUUAGGCGUCGGCCUUCCUGGUAAGAGUUCAAUCUCGACAAUAAUAUUCAUUCGGGGGCUUAUUUCCUGCAACUUUGUUCUCCAUCAACGAGCGUGGCGGCAGGAAAGACCUUUAAACCUAUUUCACCACCCUUUUUGCUAGUUGACUUUUUAUUUGUGUUGAGGGUUAUGCGCAAGCAUGAUUUUUCUCGCACGUUUAAUCUAAUUGAACGUUAAAAAAUACAACUCUUAGCAAUGGAUAUCUUGGUUCUC
rnacentral:misc_RNA from 1 species